rnacentral:rRNA from 1 species
UAUAGCAUCCUUAAUACCCUAAAGGUAUUAGAUCUCAUCUGAUCUUGGAAGAAAGCAGGAUCAUCCCAGGUUAGUACGUGAAUGGGAGACUGCCAGUGAAUCCCAGGUACCUUAG